rnacentral:sRNA from 1 species
UGAUUCCAUGGCGGUGUCUUAAGAUGGU